GGAGAGGUGGCCGAGUGGUUAAUGGUAGCAGACUGUAAAUCUGCCGGUGUAAUGCCUUCGCUGGUUCGAAUCCAGCCCUCUCCACCA
rnacentral:tRNA from 1 species